rnacentral:rRNA from 1 species
AGCGAACGCUGGCGGCAGGCUUAACACAUGCAAGUCGAGCGGACGUAGCAAUACGUUAGCGGCAGACGGGUGAGUAACACGUGGGAACGUGCCCUUUAGUUCGGGAUAACCCAGGGAAACCUGGGCUAAUACCGGAUAAGCCCUUACGGGGAAAGAUUUAUCGCCAAAGGAUCGGCCCGCGUCUGAUUAGCUAGUUGGUGGGGUAACGGCCCACCAAGGCUACGAUCAGUAGCUGGUCUGAGAGGAUGAUCAGCCACACUGGGACUGAGACACGGCCCAGACUCCUACGGGAGGCAGCAGUGGGGAAUAUUGGACAAUGGGGGAAACCCUGAUCCAGCCAUGCCGCGUGAGUGAUGAAGGCCUUAGGGUUGUAAAG